AGGGUUCGAUCAUGGCUCAGAACGUACGCUGGCGGCACGCCUAACACAUGCAAGUCGAACGAAGUAGCAAUACUUAGUGGCAGACGGGUGAGUAACAUGUAGGUAUCUGCCCUUUGGCCUGGAAUAACACGAGGAAACUUGUGCUAAUACCGGAUAAGUCUUUACGGAGAAAGCUUUAUGCACCAUUGGAUGAGCCUGCACUUGAUUAGUUUGUUGGUGGGGUAAUGGCCUACCAAGACUGUGAUCAAUAGCUGAUUUGAGAGGAUGAUCAGCCACAUUGGGACUGAGACACGGCCCAAACUCCUACGGGAGGCAGCAGUGGGGAAUCUUGCACAAUGGAGGAAACUCUGAUGCAGCGAUGCCGCGUGAGUGAAGAAGGCCCUUGGGUUGUAAAGCUCUUUCGUCGGGGAAGAAAAUGACUGUACCCGAAUAAGAAGGUCCGGCUAACUUCGUGCCAGCCGCCGCGGUAAUAC
rnacentral:rRNA from 1 species